AGUGAACGCUGGCGGUAGGCCUAACACAUGCAAGUCGAACGGCAGCACAGUAAGAGCUUGCUCUUACGGGUGGCGAGUGGCGGACGGGUGAGGAAUACAUCGGAAUCUACUUUUUCGUGGGGGAUAACGUAGGGAAACUUACGCUAAUACCGCAUACGACCUACGGGUGAAAGCAGGGGAUCUUCGGACCUUGCGCGAUUGAAUGAGCCGAUUUCGGAUUAGCUAGUUGGCGGGGUAAAGGCCCACCAAGGCGACGAUCCGUAGCUGGUCUGAGAGGAUGAUCAGCCACACUGGAACUGAGACACGGUACAGACUCCUACGGGAGGCAGCAGUGGGGAAUAUUGGACAAUGGGCGCAAGCCUGAUCCAGCCAUACCGCGUGGGUGAAGAAGGCCUUCGGGUUGUAAAGCCCUUUUGUUGGGAAAGAAAAGCAGCAGGUUAAUACCCCGCUGUUCUGACGGUACCCAAAGAAUAAGCACCGGCUAACUCCGU
rnacentral:rRNA from 1 species